rnacentral:rRNA from 1 species
GGAUGUGCUCGCGGCCUAUCAGUGUGUUGGUGGGGUAAUGGCCUACCAAGGCUUCGACGGGUAGCCGGCCUGAGAGGGUGACCGGCAACACUGGGAUUGAGACACGGCCCAGACUCCUACGGGAGGCAGCAGUGGGGAAUAUUGGACAAUGGGCGGAAGCCUGAUCCAGCAACGCCGCGUGAGGGAUGACGGCCUUCGGGUUGUAAACUUCUUUCAGUAGGGACGAAGCGCAAGUGACGGUACCUACAGAAGAAGCACCGGCCAAUUACGUGCCAGCAGCCGCGGUAAUACGUAGGGUGCGAGCGUUGUCCGGAAUUAUUGGGCGUAAAGGGCUCGUAGGCGGUUUGUCGCGUCGGGAGUGAAAACACUGGGCUUAACUCAGUGCUUGCUUCCGAUACGGGCAGACUAGAGGUAUUCAGGGGAGAACGGAAUUCCUGGUGUAGCGGUGAAAUGCGCAGAUAUCAGGAGGAACACCGGUGGCGAAGGCGGUUCUCUGGGAAUUACCUGACGCUGAGGAGCGAAAGUGUGGGGAGCGAACAGGAUUAGAUACCCUGGUAGUCCACACCGUAAACGUUGGGCGCUAGGUGUGGGGUCCAUUCCACGGAUUCCGUGCCGCAGCUAACGCAUUAAGCGCCCCGCCUGGGGAGUACGGCCGCAAGGCUAAAACUCAAAGGAAUUGACGGGGGCCCGCACAAGCGGCGGAGCAUGCGGAUUAAUUCGAUGCAACGCGAAGAACCUUACCUGGGUUUGACAUACGCCGGAAAGCCGUAGAGAUACGGCCCCUUUUAGUCGGUGUACAGGUGGUGCAUGGCUCUCGUCA